rnacentral:piRNA from 1 species
UGGCAACCGUUCUCUUGCUUAACCUAACUC